rnacentral:rRNA from 1 species
AGGGUGUAAACGCUGCAGACUUGGUGUUGGGAACCCUUUCGGGGGUGCUCAGUGCCGGAGAGAAGUUGUUAAGUCUGCUACUUGGGGAGUACGUCCGCAAGGAUGAAACUUAAAGGAAUUGGCGGGGGAGGCACCGCAACGGGAGGAGCGUGCGGUUUAAUUGGAUUCAACGCCGAAAAACUCACCAGCAGCGACUGUUACAUGAAAGUCAGGUUGAUGACCUUACUAGAUUUUCAGAGAGGAGGUGCAUGGCGUCAGUGACU